rnacentral:rRNA from 1 species
AUUGAACGCUGGCGGCAUGCCUUACACAUGCAAGUCGAACGGCAGCAUGAUCUAGCUUGCUAGAUUGAUGGCGAGUGGCGAACGGGUGAGUAAUACAUCGGAACGUGCCCUGUAGUGGGGGAUAACUAGUCGAAAGAUUAGCUAAUACCGCAUACGACCUGAGGGUGAAAGUGGGGGACCGCAAGGCCUCAUGCUAUAGGAGCGGCCGAUGUCUGAUUAGCUAGUUGGUGAGGUAAAGGCUCACCAAGGCGACGAUCAGUAGCUGGUCUGAGAGGACGAUCAGCCACACUGGGACUGAGACACGGGCCCAGACUCCUACGGGAGCAGCAGUGGGAAUUUGGACAUGGCGAAGCCUGAUCCAGCAAUGCCGCGUGUGUG